UACAGAGGUGGCAAGCGUUGUUCGGAAUUACAGGGCGUAAAGGGCGCGUAGGCGGUCUUCUAAGUCCUGUGUGAAAUCCCUCGGCUCAACUGAGGAACUGCACGGGAUACUGGAAGACUUGAGUUCGGGAGAGGGAAGCGGAAUUCCGGGUGUAGCGGUGAAAUGCGUAGAUAUCCGGAGGAACACCGGUGGCGAAGGCGGCUUCCUGGACCGAUUACUGACGCUGAGGCGCGAAAGCUAGGGGAGCAAACGGG
rnacentral:rRNA from 1 species